UACGGAGGGUGCAAACGUUGCUCGGAAUCAUUGGGCGUAAAGCGCACGUAGGCGGCCUGAUAAGUCGGGUGUGAAAGCCCUGGGCUCAACCCAGGAAGUGCACUCGAAACUGUCAGGCUUGAAUAUGGAAGAGGGUCGCGGAAUUCCCGGUGUAGAGGUGAAAUUCGUAGAUAUCGGGAGGAACACCAGUGGCGAAGGCGGCGACCUGGGCCAAUAUUGACGCUGAGGUGCGAAAGCUAGGGGAGCAAACAGG
rnacentral:rRNA from 1 species